UACGAAGGGGGCUAGCGUUACUCGGAAUUACUGGGCGUAAAGGGCGCGUAGGCGGCGUUCCAAGUUAGGCGUGAAAGUCCUGGGCUCAACCUGGGAACUGCGCUUAAGACUGGAAUGCUAGAGGAUGGAAGAGGGUUGUGGAAUUCCCAGUGUAGAGGUGAAAUUCGUAGAUAUUGGGAAGAACACCGAUGGCGAAGGCAGCCAUCUGGACCGACACUGACGCUGAGGCGCGAAAGCGUGGGGAGCAAACAGG
rnacentral:rRNA from 1 species